rnacentral:misc_RNA from 1 species
UCCGGUUUGUCACCGGCAGUCUGGCGUGAGUCCCCAACUUAAUGCUGGCAACACGCCACGGGGGUUGCGCUCGUUGCGGGACUUAACCCAACAUCUCACGACACGAGCUGACGACAGCCAUGCAGCAUCUGUGGUGCACCCUCGAAGGUCACACGUUUCCGUGCGCUUGCAGCACCAUGUCAAGUCCAGGUAAGGUGGGGAUGACGUAGACGUCAUAACC